UACGGAGGAUGCAAGCGUUAUCCGGAAUCAUUGGGCGUAAAGCGUCCGCAGGUGGAAGUUCAAGUCGAUUGUCAAAGGCAGUAGCUUAACUACUGACAGGCAGUGGAAACUGAACGACUAGAGUGAGGUAGGGGUAGAGGGAAUUCCCGGUGUAGCGGUGAAAUGCGUAGAGAUCGGGAAGAACACCAGUGGCGAAAGCGCUCUGCUGGACCUUAACUGACACUGAGGGACGAAAGCUAGGGGAGCGAAUGGG
rnacentral:rRNA from 1 species